rnacentral:rRNA from 1 species
GACGAACGCUGGCGGCGUGCUUAACACAUGCAAGUCGAACGGAAAGGCCCUGCUUUUGUGGGGUGCUCGAGUGGCGAACGGGUGAGUAACACGUGAGUAACCUGCCCUUGACUUUGGGAUAACUUCUGGAAACUGGGGCUAAUACCGGAUAGGAGCUCCUGCUGCAUGGUGGGGGUUGGAAAGUUUCGGCGGUUGGGGAUGGACUCGCGGCUUAUCAGCUUGUUGGUGGGGUAGUGGCUUACCAAGGCUUUGACGGGUAGCCGGCCUGAGAGGGUGACCGGCCACAUUGGGACUGAGAGACGGCCCAGACUCCUACGGGAGGCAGCAGUGGGGAAUAUUGCACAAUGGGCGGAAGCCUGAUGCAGCAACGCCGCGUGCGGGAUGACGGCCUUCGGGUUGUAAACCGCUUUCGCCUGUGACGAAGCGUGAGUGACGGUAAUGGGUAAAGAAGCACCGGCUAACUACGUG